UUUAAUCUAAUCUGAUAAUUUGCUCUGUUUUUAUCUAUCUAAUCGUUUAUUUUAUCUCUCUUAUCUAUCUAUCCUUCUUAAACAACAAGCGCGUCUGGCCAAAAAAGGACCUGGCAGCAAGUACAAGAACAUUUUGCAGGCUGCAUUGAAAAAAAAGGCUCAUAUAUCUGGCACGGGGGGUGGCCCUCCAACCCAAGACUUGACCACAGCAGAGGAGCUGGCCCUGGAGUUGAAUAAAGGCCCAGCAAGAGAGACUGGCCUCUUCAUACAAGGUACAUUACUGCCGUACUACUGCACAUGGAAAACAAUCAAGUAUUUAGAUUUUGUUAUGUGGACUGUCUGACUUUGCCUUACCUUGCGGUGUCUGGUAACACACUUACACUUCUGGAGCCACCAGACUAUGAUCCGCUGGUGACUUCUCUUUAUUAAAAUCAUAGGCUUGGCACGUCCUGUCAAAACUAUCAAUACAAGUUCUAUUGAAUAUGGCAGAGGGAAGGCACAUCUGACGAUGAUGAGAUCGUGUCACUGGACUCCAGAAGGCUUGAGAAAGCAACUCAUACAGGUUUGGAUAGAACUU